AGUGGUUUCAUUCCCUACCGGCAUUCUGUCUUGACAUGGCUCUUGAGAGACAGCCUAGGCGGGAACUCCAAGACAAUCAUGAUUGCCAUCAUCUCUUCUGCGGAAUGCAACUAUGGAGAGACGCUGACCACCUUGCGCUAUGCAAACCGUGCCAAGAAUAUUAUCAUCCAUCCAACUAUCAACGAGGACCCGAAUGUCUAACUCGUCAAGGAACUUGGCGAGGAGAUUGCCAGACUACCAUCAAGGGUUGGAGGUGAUGACAGUAGCACACAAGUCAUGGAGAAGCUCCAGGAGAAUGAAGAAAGGGUGAAGUUCCUCACGGAGGAAUGGACAGAGAAAUGGAAGGAGACUCACAAAAUUUUAAAGGAGCAAAAGACCCUGGGCCUGCAGAUGUCCGGCCAAGGUGUCGUCCUCGACUCCGAACGGCCCCACCUGAUUGGCCUGGGGGAUGGCAUUCUGAUCACGGGGGUUGUGCUAUAACACAUGAAGGAAGAAAGACCUUCAUUAGCACUGAGAAUGUGAACACUAAGCAAGCUAUUGUCCUGUCUGGUGCUGGAAUCCAAGACAAGCAUUGCUCCAUAGAGCUGGUUAAUGGUGGUGCCAUGCUCCACCCGAACCAGAACUCCGAGUGCUGCAUUAACACAAUGCCUGUGGACAAGCCAACCAGGCUCACCUAAGGCUGUCUCGUUCUGCUAGGAACGACAAAUGUGUUUCGAUACAAUGACCCUGCUGAGGUGCACAAGCUUAGAAA